rnacentral:rRNA from 1 species
AGGGAAUCUUCCACAAUGGACGCAAGUCUGAUGGAGCAACGCCGCGUGAGUGAAGAAGGCUUUCGGGUCGUAAAACUCUGUUAUUGAAGAAGAACGUGUGUGACAGUAACUGGUCAUGCAGUGACGGUAUUCAAUCAGAAAGUCACGGCUAACUACGUGCCAGCAGCCGCGGUAAUACGUAGGUGGCAAGCGUUGUCCGGAUUUAUUGGGCGUAAAGCGAGUGCAGGCGGUCUUUUAAGUCUGAUGUGAAAGCCUUCGGCUUAACCGAAGAAGGGCAUCGGAAACUGGGAGACUUGAGUGCAGAAGAGGAGAGUGGAACUCCAUGUGUAGCGGUGAAAUGCGUAGAUAUAUGGAAGAACACCAGUGGCGAAGGCGGCUCUCUGGUCUGUAACUGACGCUGAGGCUCGAAAGCGUGGGUAGCAAACAGGAUUAGAU